rnacentral:rRNA from 1 species
UACGAAGGGGGCUAGCGUUGCUCGGAAUUACUGGGCGUAAAGAGCGCGUAGGCGGACAUUUAAGUCAGAGGUGAAAUCCCGAGGCUCAACCUCGGAACUGCCUUUGAUACUGGAUGUCUUGAGUAUGAGAGAGGUAUGUGGAACUCCGAGUGUAGAGGUGAAAUUCGUAGAUAUUCGGAAGAACACCAGUGGCGAAGGCGACAUACUGGCUCAUUACUGACGCUGAGGCGCGAAAGCGUGGGGAGCAAACAGG